GGGGAAUCUUCCGCAAUGGGCGAAAGCCUGACGGAGCAACGCCGCGUGAGUGAAGACGGCCUUCGGGUUGUAAAGCUCUGUUAUACGGGACGAAUAAUCUUGUGGUUAAUACCCAUGAGAAGUGACGGUACCGUAAGAGAAAGCCACGGCUAACUACGUGCCAGCAGCCGCGGUAAUACGUAGGUGGCAAGCGUUGUCCGGAAUUAUUGGGCGUAAAGGGCGCGCAGGCGGCUUCUUAAGUCUGUCUUAAAAGUGCGGGGCUUAACCCCGUGAUGGGAUGGAAACUGGGAAGCUCAGAGUAUUGGAGAGGAAAGCGGAAUUCCUAGUGUAGCGGUGAAAUGCGUAGAUAUUAGGAGGAACACCAGUGGCGAAAGCGGCUUUCUGGACGAAAACUGACGCUGAGGCGCGAAAGCCAGGGGAGCGAACGGGAUUAGAUACCCCGGUAGUCCUGGCCGUAAACGAUGGGUACUAGGUGUAGGAGGUAUCGACCCCUUCUGUGCCGGAGUUAACGCAAUAAGUACCCCGCCUGGGGAGUACGGCCGCAAGGUUG
rnacentral:rRNA from 1 species